rnacentral:rRNA from 1 species
UGUAAGCGUAUACCAAAGUUGUUGCAGUUAAAACGCUCGUAGUCGGAAUUUGGCAGUUCCGGAAGUGUGCACGUCGUGUGCGCACUUUGCGGGGACUGCUUUUGUGGUCUUGCGUAGGAUGAGGCACUUUCAUUAGUGAACGUCCUCACGCAACCACUCUUUACUGUGAGAAAAUCAGAGUGCUCAAAGCAGGCAUUUGCCGUGAAUGUAUUAGCAUGGAAUAAUAGAAUAGGACUCGGUUCUAUUUUGUUGGUUUGUUGGGACUGAGUAAUGAUUAAGAGGGACGGUUGGGGGCAUUUGUAUUCCGGCGCUAGAGGUGAAAUUCUUAGAUUGCCGGAAGACAAACUGCUGCGAAAGCGUCUGCCAAGGAUGUUUUCAUUGA